rnacentral:rRNA from 1 species
GACGAACGCUGGCGGCGUGCUUAACACAUGCAAGUCGAACGGAAAGGCCCUGCUUUUGUGAGGUGCUCGAGUGGCGAACGGGUGAGUAACACGUGAGUAACCUGCCCUUGACUUUGGGAUAACUUCAGGAAACUGGGGCUAAUACCGGAUAGGAGCUCCUGAUGCAUGGUGGGGGUUGGAAAGUUUCGGCGGUUGGGGAUGGACUCGCGGCUUAUCAGCUUGUUGGUGGGGUAGUGGCUUACCAAGGCUUUGACGGGUAGCCGGCCUGAGAGGGUGACCGGCCACAUUGGGACUGAGAUAGGGCCCAGACUCCUACGGGAGGCAGCAGUGGAGAAUAUUGCACAAUGGGCGGAAGCCUGAUGCAGCAACGCCGCGUGCGGGAUGACGGCCUUCGGGUUGUAAACCGCUUUCGCCUGUGACGAAGCGUGAGUGACGGUAAUGGGUAAAGAAGCACCGGCUAACUACGUG